rnacentral:misc_RNA from 1 species
GAAAUGCGAUAAGUAGUGUGAAUUGCAGAAUUCAGUGAAUCAUCGAAUCUUUGAACGCACAUUGCGCCCUUUGGUAUUCCUUAGGGCAUGCCUGUUCGAGCGUCAUCUAAACCUUCAAGCCCUGCUUGGUGUUGGGUGCCUGUCCCGCCUCCGCGCGCGGACUCACCUCAAAUCCAUUGGCGGCCCCCGCGUCGGCCACGAGCGCAGCAGAAACGCGAACUCGUGAGCCCGUCCGGGCAGCUCCCAGAAGCUACACCCACCCAGUUUGACCUCGGAUCAGGUAGGGAUACCCGCUGAACUUAAGC